GGAAUAUUAUGUCAAAGUUUAAAGCUUCUAACUUUUUUCUAAGCGGUUAAAUUCCGUUUAUAUUCCU
rnacentral:tRNA from 2 species